ACAUGUGUCCAAGAAACCCCAUUUAACACCAUCUGGCUGGGUGAUAAAAGGCAACAUAAAUACCUUUCAUUGGAUUGGAAUUUUGCAAUUCUCAAGAGAUUUAAUAUAUAUUAUAACAUUUAGUUGCAACUUUUUGAGGGUGAUGCAAGUUAUUUUUAACUCUAUUUUAUAAAUGACUGAAUGUAAAAGAGGCGAAGUCUCACUUUAAUAAGUUGACCUUUUCUAUGGAUGGAUUUUAUCCCUACCCAAGUCCUCUAUCCAUCAGGAACACAGCUUUAAUUUCUGAUCAGUUCAGUGCAGAAACAAUGAGCCCUCGGAGACCUAAGUCAUGAGUUCAACUAAUGAUUUGUCUACAAUUUUUCUCAGCCCAUUCCUUGAUUUUCUACCCUUCUGAAUCAUGAUUUAGAUCAUUGGUUCUCAAGUGAGGCUAUUUUUGGUUGUCCCAGCAGUGACAGUGAGGGGUGCUACUAACAUCAACGAGGUCGUUUUCAGAGGGAAUUGCUGCACAUGUAGCUGUAGACUCGGUAUGUUCAUACAAGGAGGUGAAUUCAGUAUCUUCCUAUGCUGUCAUCUUGGACUGCCCAGAUCACGAGUUCACUGGUGGCAGAGGUCUGUUUAGGUGAAAGAUGACAGAGAAUUAGGCUUAUUUAUUUAAGUGUGAGCGGAGGAGUGGCAGAGAGGGAGACAGAAUCCCAAGCAGGCUCUGCCCUGCCAGCACAGAACUCAACAUGGGGCUUGAACUCAUGAAACUAUGAAAUCAUGUCCUGAGCUGAAACCAAGAGCUGGAUGCCCAACUGACUGAGCCACCCAGGUGCCCCGAAACUAUACAACUUAUAAAAGAAGACAUAGGCUGUAAGGACCUGGAUAUCAGUCUCAGUGAUGAUUUUUCAGUUGUGAAAUAAAAAGCAAAGGAAACAAAAGCAAAAAUAAACAAGUGGGACUGCCUCAAACUGAAAUCUUUCUGCAGAGUGAAGGAGAGCAUCAACAAAAUGAAAAUGCAUCCUAUGAAGUAGGAGAAAAUAUCUGAAAAUUGUAUCCAAGAAGGUCUUAAUAUCCGAAAAUACAUAAAGAACUUAUACAUCAGUUGGGAAAAAAUAAACUGAUUAAAAAAUGGGCAGAGGGACCGAGUAGACAUUUUUCCAAAGAGAAGAUACAAAUAGAUAACAGGUAGAUGAAAAGGCACUCAACAUCACUAAUUACCAAGAAAAGGAAAUCAAAACCACAAUGAUCUCACACCUAUUAGGAUGGCUAUUAUCAAUAAGAUGAGAAGUAACUAAUGUUGAAGAGGAGGUGGUGAAAAGGAAACCCUUGUGCACUGUUGAGGGGAAUGUAAAUUGGUGUAGUCACUAUGGAAUAAAGUAUGGAGUUCCCAUUAAAAAUUAAAAUAGAACUACUAUAUGAUCCAGAAAUUCCACUUCGGUGUAUUUAUCUGAAGGAAAUGAAAGCACUAACUCAAAAAGAUAUAUGCCCUGCCAUAGCUAUUACAGCAUUAUUUACAAAAGCCAAGACAUGGAAACAACCUAAGUGUCCAUCAAUGGAUGAAUGGAUAAAAAAUGUGAUAUGUAUUUAUAGUGGAACUUACAUAUAUAUUUAUACACACACACACACAUAACUGAAUAUUAUGUAGCCAUAAAAAAGAAUCUCUGAUACUAUAGAUGGGCCAUGAUGACUUUAUGCUAAGUGAAACAAGCGAGAGAAAAACAAACUGUAAGAUCUCAUUUAUAUGUGCAAUCUAAAACAAAACACCUCAUAGAUAUAGAGAACAGAUUGGUGGUGGCCAGAAGAAGGGGAUGGGGGUGGGCAGAAUGGGUGAAAGGUGUCAAAAGAUAUAAACUUCCAACUGUAAAUUAAAGGUUGUGGAUGUAAUGUACAGCAUAGUGUCUAUAGUUAAUACUGUAUUGUAUAUUUGAAAGUUGCUGUGAGAAUAAAAUUUGAAAGUUCUCAUCACAAGAACUGUGUAGUAAUGCAUAUUACCUCAACUUAUUGUAGUGAUUAUUUCACAGUAUAUACAAAUAUUAAAAUAUUAUUUUGCACACUUGAAACUGAUGUUAUAUGUUAAUUAUAUCACAGUAAAAGAAAAGGAAUAGGGGCAUCUGGGCGUCUCAGUUGGUUUAGAGCCCACCU